GACGAACGCUGGCGGCGUGCUUAACACAUGCAAGUCGAACGGAAAGGCCCUGCUUUUGUGGGGUGCUCGAGUGGCGAACGGGUGAGUAACACGUGAGUAACCUGCCCUUGACUUUGGGAUAACUUCAGGAAACUGGGGCUAAUACCGGAUAGGAGCUCCUGCUGCAUGUUGGGGGUUGGAAAGUUUCGGCGGUUGGGGAUGGACUCGCGGGUUAUCAGCUUGUUGGUGGGGUAGUGGCUUACCAAGGCUUUGACGGGUAGCCGGCCUGAGAGGGUGACCGGCCACAUUGGGACUGAGAUACGGCCCAGACUCCUACGGGAGGCAGCAGUGGGGAAUAUUGCACAAUGGGCGGAAGCCUGAUGCAGAAACGCCGCGUGCGGGAUGACGGCCUUCGGGUUGUAAACCGCUUUCGCCUGUGACGAAGCGUGAGUGACGGUAAUGGGUAAAGAAGCACCGGCUAACUACGUG
rnacentral:rRNA from 1 species